UACAGAGGUCUCAAGCGUUGUUCGGAUUCAUUGGGCGUAAAGGGUGCGUAGGUGGCGCGCUAAGUCAGGUGUGAAAUCUCGGGGCUUAACUCCGAAACUGCAUUUGAUACUGGCGUGCUUGAGGACUGGAGAGGAGACUGGAAUUCAUGGUGUAGCAGUGAAAUGCGUAGAUAUCGAGAGGAACACCAGUGGCGAAGGCGAGUCUCUGGACGACACCUGACACUGAGGCACGAAAGCUAGGGGAGCAAACAGG
rnacentral:rRNA from 1 species